CUUGCUUUCAUAUUGUAUAAAUGCAUCUUAAAAAUCACCCAGACUCCACCGGAGAUUCUACAAUAUCUAGUAUGAUGUACCGAUUAAAAAAAAAUAAAGCCCUUCAGUCCACAAAAUCUGUCAUCGCCUGGAUUAAGAUUGCAAACUAUCAAUUGGUGUCCCAGGCUAGCAUGAUAAUUAUAUAGUUAAAAGUUGUACAAAACAUACGCACAUCCUCUGGCUAUUCCAGGAAAGCAACUAGGGUGAGG
rnacentral:lncRNA from 1 species